AUUUUUAUUAAAUGAAUCAUAAUCGUGAAAUGCGUACAAGUAUUACCAGGUCAAAGUCGGUGAAUAGAUUAAAAUAUAUAUUUGCUAUCAAUCUUAGAAUAUGUAUUUUAUAAAAUAUAUCAUGAAAAAUUAUCUAUUGCCAAGUACAUUUCCGAUAGAAUAAUGAAUAAGGAAAUACCAUAGAUGGUAAGAAAAUUUUUAUUGAAUUACGUAAAUAAAUUAUGUAAUUAAAUAAAUAUAUUAUAAAAUUUUCAAAACUCAAUAUCACGAGAACUAUCAGUCUCGGAAAUUUGGCCAAAAGGAUCUUUUUUCUAGGAAACAUGUUUUUCUACAAAGUGAUUUCUAAAAAUAUUUUUUGGCAUCUAUAAAUUCAGCGGUUCAAGUUACAGUUCCGUUCUUUACUUCCCCACCACUAGAUUGCUGUUCAACGCAUGCGCAGUCCCGAAAAUGGCAGUGGUGGGAUUUCUGGCACUAUCGUAACGUACCUCAUCAUACUAUUAUAAUUUCGCAGUAAUUAUCGUACAACUUUUAAUAAUAGUCAAUAGGUGCCUUCUCCCUUUAUUUAUAUCGGAAAAAAAUAAAUUUUUUCCCACAAAAUCUUAUUAAAUCAACGUAAUAUUCUUUUCUCAAAAUUUUGUCAUUAUCUGAAUAAUUUAAACGCUGAAUUAUUUAUCAAGCACUUCAGUUAUCAAACUGAUAGACACCUACUUAUUUAAUAAAUUCUACUUGGCAUAAUUUAUCUCCAUUGAUAUUAAAUAUGAAAACAAAAAGAAAUCAAUUUUAAUGUAAAUGGAAUAAAAAAAAUGGAUGUACAGCAAUCGAUUUCAUUUAAAUAACAUUUAUUAUAGUAAUGUAAAUUGUCAAGGAAUAACGAUAUAACCUGAAAAUUCAAAAUUUUUUGAAUAUAAUGAAUCGCAAUGAAUUGAAACAAAUUUU